rnacentral:tRNA from 1 species
GAGGGUAUAGCUCAGUGGUAGAGUGCGUGCUUAGCAUGCAUGAGGUCCUGGAUUCAAUCCCCAGUCCCUCCA